GUGGGGAAUAUUGGGCAAUGGGCGAAAGCCUGACCCAGCAACGCCGCGUGAGGGAAGAAGGCCUUCGGGUUGUAAACCUCUGUCCUUGGUGACGAAAAAAAUGACGGUAGCCAAGGAGGAAGCCCCGGCUAACUACGUGCCAGCAGCCGCGGUAAUACGUAGGGGGCGAGCGUUGUCCGGAAUUACUGGGCGUAAAGGGUGCGUCGGUGGCCUUUUAAGUUGGAUGUGAAAUACCCGGGCUUAACUUGGGGGGUGCAUCUAAUACUGGAGGGCUAGAGUGCAGGAGAGGGAAGCGGAAUUCCUAGUGUAGCGGUGAAAUGCGUAGAUAUUAGGAGGAACACCAGUGGCGAAGGCGGCUUUCUGGACUGUAACUGACACUGAGGCACGAAAGCGUGGGGAGCAAACAGGAUUAGAAACCCCUGUAGUCC
rnacentral:rRNA from 1 species